rnacentral:rRNA from 1 species
UACGUAGGGGGCAAGCGUUAUCCGGAAUUACUGGGUGUAAAGGGUGAGUAGGCGGCAUGGUAAGCCAAAUGUGAAAGCCUUGGGCUUAACCCGAGGAUUGCAUUUGGAACUAUCAAGCUAGAGUACAGGAGAGGAAAGCGGAAUUCCUAGUGUAGCGGUGAAAUGCGUAGAUAUUAGGAAGAACACCAGUGGCGAAGGCGGCUUUCUGGACUGAAACUGACGCUGAGGCACGAAAGCGUGGGGAGCGAACAGG